rnacentral:lncRNA from 1 species
UCCCCUCACAAAUUUUCAGAUGAAUCCGACAACCCGUUGUUGGGUUGCUGCCCUAAAAUUGGUAAUUUGUAGGAAAUUUUGCAGAUUUGGUUAUUAUCUAGUAUAGAUAGAGAUAAACUGUAAACAGCAAUAAUGUUCAGCAAAGUAAGAUCUACAAAUAAGUCGACAUGAUCAAAAUUGUUAGAGGACCCCUUAAGGAGUUAUUGCCCUUUAUAGUCAAUAUUGAACAACUUUUAGUAAUUUUUUGUAACUUGUACAAAAAUCUUCCUUUCUAAACUAUGGGCCAAAUUUAACCAAACUUGGCCACAAUCAUUACUAGGGUAUCUAUUUAAAAA